AUUGAACGCUGGCGGCAUGCCUUACACAUGCAAGUCGAACGGUAACGUGCCUUCGGGUGCCGACUAGUGGCGAACGGGGGCGUAAUACUUCCGAACGGGCCAGAUCGCGGGGGAUAAGGAGGCGAAACCUUUACUAAUACCGCAUACCAGCUACGGUUGAAAGCAGGAGACCGCAAGGCCUUACGCGGACUGUGCGGCCGCUGGCAGAUUAGCUAGUUGGUGGGAUAAAAGCUUACCAAGCCGACGAUCUGUAGCUGGUCUGAGAGGAUGAUCAGCCACACUGGGACUGAGACACGGCCCAGACUCCUACGGGAGGCAGCAGUGGGGAAUUUUGGACAAUGGGCGAAAGCCUGAUGCAGCCAUGCCGCGUGCAGGAUGAAGGCCUUCGGGUUGUAAAAUGCUUUUGUACGGAACGAAAAGCCUUCUUUUAAUACAGGAGCGUCAUGACGGUACCGAAAGAAUAAGCCCCGGCUAACUACGUG
rnacentral:rRNA from 1 species